CAGGAUUCGGGAACAGUUGGAACGACUGCUAAUACCGGAUGUGCCUAAGGGUGAAAGGCUUGCUGCCUGAAGAAGAGCUUGCGUCCGAUUAGCUAGUUGGUGAGGUAAAGGCUUACCAAGGCAUCGAUCGGUAGCUGGUCUGAGAGGAUGACCAGCCACACUGGGACUGAGACAAGGCCCAUACUCCUACGGGAGGCAGCAGUGGGGAAUUUUCCGCAAUGGGCGAAAGCCUGACGGAGCAAUACCGCGUGAGGGAAGAAGGCUCUUGGGUUGUAAACCUCUUUUCUCAGGGAAUAAAAAAAUGAAGGUACCUGAGGAAUAAGCAUCGGCUAACUCCGUGCCAGCAGCCGCGGUAAUACGGAGGAUGCAAGCGUUAUCCGGAAUGAUUGGGCGUAAAGCGUCCGCAGGUGGUACAACAAGUCUAGUGUCAAAGACCGGGGCUCAACCCCGGAAAGGCGGUAGAAACUGUUGAACUAGAGGGUCGUAGGGGUAGAGGGAAUUCCCAGUGUAGCGGUGAAAUGCGUAGAGAUUGGGAAGAACAUCGGUGGCGAAGGCGCUCUACUGGACGGCAACUGACACUCAAGGACGAAAGCUAGGGGAGCGAAUGGGAUUAGAUACCC
rnacentral:rRNA from 1 species